AGAGUUUGAUCCUGGCUCAAGAUUGAACGCUGGCGGCAGGCCUUAACACAUGCAAGUCGAGCGGAUGACAGGAGCUUGCUUCCUGAAUUCAAGCGGCGGACGGGUGAGUAAUGCCUAGGAAUCUGCCUGGUAGUGGGGGACAACGUUUCGAAAGGAACGCUUAAUACSGCAUACGUCCUACGGGAGAAAGCAGGGGACCUUCGGGCCUUGCGCUAUCAGAUGAGCCUAGGUCGGAUUAGCUAGUUGGUGAGGUAAUGGCUCACCAAGGCGACGAUCCGUAACUGGUCUGAGAGGAUGAUCAGUCACACUGGAACUGAGACACGGUCCAGACUCCUACGGGAGGCAGCAGUGGGGAAUAUUGGACAAUGGGCGAAAGCCUGAUCCAGCCAUGCCGCGUGUGUGAAGAAGGUCUUCGGAUUGUAAAGCACUUUAAGUUGGGAGGAAGGGCAGUAAAUUAAUACUUUGCUGUUUUGACGUUACCGACAGAAUAAGCACCGGCUAACUCUGUGCCAGCAGCCGCGGUAAU
rnacentral:rRNA from 1 species